UACGAAGGGUGCAAGCGUUACUCGGAAUUACUGGGCGUAAAGCGUGCGUAGGCGGUUUGUUAAGUCUGUCGUGAAAGCCCCGGGCUCAACCUGGGAAUGGCGAUGGAAACUGGCGAGCUAGAGUACGGUAGAGGAGAGUGGAAUUCCCGGUGUAGCAGUGAAAUGCGUAGAGAUCGGGAGGAACAUCAGUUGCGGAAGGCGGCUCUCUGGACCAGUACUGACGCUGAGGCACGAAAGCGUGGGGAGCAA
rnacentral:rRNA from 1 species